rnacentral:ncRNA from 1 species
AACACAUGAGAAGCUGCCCUUGGGAGGGGAUCAAUAGAGGGAAAUGACUGCUAAUAUCUCAUAGGCUGAGCAAAACGAUGAAUCCACCCAUGGAGAGGCUUGCAUCGGAUUAGCUAGCUGGUGAUGCAAUAGUUUACAGAAGCAACAACCAGUAGCUGGUCUAAGAGAACGAUCAGC